GCUGCAGGUGCAAUGAGAGCAUUUCCAACUCACAGACUCAGGGUCAGGGAGAUGCUGGCACUGUGGUGUGAACUACUGAACCAAAGCUAAGAAGGGGUUCAGAGCAGCAACUUGGAGAGGUGGCAGGGAGCACGAAGGAAGGAGCCAACACCAAAAGAUCAUUAGAAAGAAAGCUCACUCUGAAGAUAUACGAGUGCAAUACAUCAUGACGGAAAAGGGUGUACUGUUGAUGUACUUCUCAAACAAUGGCAGAGUCCAAAGAGGAGAAGGCCCAAGAGGAACGCUGCUUAACUGAAAUGUUUGGCACCAGGAAGAAAUCAAAGGAAAAAAUAUAAAGCCAUUCUUGGAGUUGUCUCUCUUUUUUCCCUGUUCCUAUCAUCUUCUAAUCAAACCAGCAUGAGAUAUCAAGCAAUUACAAUGCCAUUUGCUCCCUGCUGGAUGCAACAAUUAGCCUAAGAUAUCUAAUGAAAGGAAUUAAAUUCUAAAUCUUUUACACCAAAUAGCUUUAAUUUUAAUUACAAAUCCCAAAUAUAUCAUCUUCAAUAAUGAUCAGACCAUCACAUCUGCUAGGGACUGAUGAAGAUUUGCUUUUUGCGUGGUUUGGACUGAAAAUGAAACCAUACUCUCCCCACAAAAGAGCCCUAGUGAAGUAAAUGGAAAUUAGGGUACAAGGAUCAGAGCCCACAAAAUCCCUGUAGAAUUUCCCAUAGGCUGAGGCUGUUACCACACUACUCUUUAUCUGCAGCUGUGAAAAGCAUCCUUUUGUAUCAGAUCUGCAGAAGUUGCUUGGGGUAUGGGGACAUAAUUAAUUGCUGAGUGUCUAUUGCAUCUCUCCAUUUGGAAUCAAUCCACAUAGUCCAUUACAUCUCCAACUAGAGCUCAUUUUGGCAAUUUGCAUUAUUCCAGGUACCUGUUCCUGAGCACAAGCUGCCCACUGGCACACAAGCAUGAAUCCAUUAUGGAAAGGUGAGGGCUUGGGGCAGCUCAUCUCCUGGUCUUCCCCCUUUGCCUAGAUAGGGAAUUGUGAUGGGUUGAGAAACGGGGCAGUCCCAAAGUGGAACACUGCCUACCAUGCCUGACUUUGAUUUUCUUGCCAUGGGAGAUGUGUGAGUUUCUACCAACUUUCUUCUUCAGAUUUCACUAAAUCCCAGGGAUUUACACUAGACUGAAAGACAUCCAGCACAACCCCUCCUGUCUGACAGCUGCCAGCAUCUCAACACCUGGA
rnacentral:lncRNA from 1 species